rnacentral:lncRNA from 1 species
GUGAGAGGAAGACGCUGCUACUGGGACUCGACCGUGACACCUUUGGGGGCCAUAUUUGGUAGGCAUUUGGGUUGACGAAGUUAUGGAGUUGCGGAGUUGAGGCGUUCCGUCAGGUAGGAGUUGCUGUCAAGUCAACGGAGGCAAUUCCCUAGCAAUGGCCCAUGCCAUGACAUGAAAAUAGGUACUGCAUGCGGGGUUUGAAAACGUACCCCUCGGUGAGCACCUUUGUACCCCCGGGGUGCCAAAGGAGUAGAUGCCUCGUAAGGGUAUUAGAGGAGGGGUGGACACUUCGUAAGUGGCCCCGACUCCCCCGUCGACCCAUAGGACAUGGGUCGUCCCUUGGCUAGCGGAGUAGCCAAGCCUAGCGUUCCGUGUAGCCGGUUAAUGGACGGUUGAAGGGACACGGGCCUAGGGUAAUGUCGGAGACGAGAGAGGUCGACGACAUUACGGAGCGGGGAAUACCGGGAGGCUUCCUCCCUAGGAUCGCUUGCACUACCUUAUGCAGGCUUAGAUCUCUGUAGUGGAGCGUACGAGCGGAUGAGGGAUAGUCUAGCGACGGACGGUCCUCCGUAAAGGACAAGGCUCGCGAAGGCAAGU